AACUCAGCCGCUGCUUGAGCAGCCGAGGUAGCAUCCUUAAAUUUUAUGUUCCAAUUAUGCAUGCCAAUAGAAAAUUUACCAUCUCCAGGAUAUGAUUGCCCAUGUUCCAACCUUUUAUCCUUGAAACCUAAGUGGCUUGAACCAUCAUCAUCAACACAAUAUUGCCUUAAAAGUUCUACAACAGCUCUGGCAGCUAGGUUUGCAUGUUCUGCAAACUCAGCUGCUGCUUGAUUAGCAGAGGUAACAUCCUUAAAUUUCAAGCUCCAAUUCUGCCUUCCAAUAGAAAAUUUACCAUCUCCAGAAAAUGAUUGCCCAUGUUCCAACCUUUUAUCCUUGAAAACUACGUGGCAUGAACCAUCAUCAUCAACACAAUAUUGCCUUGAAAGUUCUACAACAGCUCUGGUAGCUAGGCUUGCAUAUUCUGCAAACUUAGCCGCUACUUGACCAGUAGAGGUAGCAUCCUUAAAUUUCAUGUU
rnacentral:lncRNA from 1 species